AAUCCUUCGGGAGGAAGACCAUUGUGACUGAGUGGCGGACGGGUGAGUAACGCGUGGGUAACCUGCCUUGUACAGGGGGAUAACAGUUAGAAAUGACUGCUAAUACCGCAUAAGCACACAGUACCGCAUGGUACGGUGUGAAAAACUCCGGUGGUAUGAGAUGGACCCGCGUCUGAUUAGCUAGUUGGCAGGGCAACGGCCUACCAAGGCGACGAUCAGUAGCCGACCUGAGAGGGUGACCGGCCACAUUGGGACUGAGACACGGCCCAGACUCC
rnacentral:rRNA from 1 species